rnacentral:lncRNA from 1 species
GUGAUAUUAAGUGCACGGCAGUUAACUUUGUACCCUUUAUUCAGUUAGGUGUGUUGCUUAGGUGGUAGGUGAAUCUAUUGUUCAGGUACUAUAGGAUAAAAGAUACUUUCCGCUAAAUAGAUUUAUAAUAUGCAUUUUUAUGUCUGUUCUCAUUUUAUGUGUCAUAAAUAAGACCUCUGGUAAAGAAACAAAAAAUGCCAUCGCUAUCGAAUUUCAUUUCUUCCUACCAAGCACAGACAAUACAUAUGAAAUAUUACAGUUCAU